UACGGAGGGUGCAAGCGUUAUCCGGAUUCACUGGGUUUAAAGGGUGCGUAGGCGGGCAGGUAAGUCAGUGGUGAAAUCUCCGAGCUUAACUUGGAAACUGCCGUUGAUACUAUCUGUCUUGAAUGCUGUGGAGGUAAGCGGAAUAUGUCAUGUAGCGGUGAAAUGCUUAGAUAUGACAUAGAACACCUAUUGCGAAGGCAGCUUGCUACACAGAAAUUGACGCUGAGGCACGAAAGCGUGGGGAUCAAACAGG
rnacentral:rRNA from 1 species